rnacentral:rRNA from 1 species
CUACACCACCUUCUCGUCGGCUGCGUCUUCUCGCGCAUCAUAUGGCACGACAUCAUGGCGUGGUGCCGCAUACCCACCUUACCACCCGACGGCACCACCGGAUUCUUCGACUGGUGGACGGCGGCCAAGGCUAGCGUGCCGGCUUGCCUCCGCAAAGGGCUGAACUCCCUAAUUAUCCUCACCUCUUGGGCAAUUUGAAAACACCACAACACAACCCUCUUCGACAAUGUUGCACCCUCCUACAACAAACUCAUCGAGGACAUACAACAGGAGUCGAAACUAUGGGCAAGAACCGGCGCCAAAGGGCUCGAUAGGAUCAUUCAUGUAACAUAA